AUCUUGAUGAUUGAUUUAAUUGCUUGUGAAUGUCAUAUGAUCAAGACCAUUUUUUUUAGAACCCUUCUCUAACCAAAUUUUCACCCAAAACACUUAAAAAUAUUAUACCCUUUUUGAACCUUAGCCUUAAAUAGGAUGUGAAUCCUUGUCUUUAAAUUCUUUACCUUGAGUUGGGAUGAGCUUAAUUGUAUAUGAUGAAAAGGUUCAAGUUUGGGGUUGUAUGGGGGAAAAUUGAAAAGCAAUUGUGAAACAUUGAGCUCAAAUGUUAUGAAAAGAAAAAUUCAUGAGAAAAAGAAAAGAAAAGAAGAAAAGCAUGAAGAAGAGCUCAAUGAAAAAGAAAAAGGGGAAAAAGUUGAGGAUAAGUGAGAUUGGUGAGGAAGAGAGUUGUACUUAAAUUGUUUAAUAUUUGGAAAGCUCUCUUAACUCAAGAACUUUGUA
rnacentral:lncRNA from 1 species